UAGGUGACCAGAAGUUGCCUAAAACUUGGUAC
rnacentral:piRNA from 1 species